GGGAAAGCAGGAGAGAGGAGAGCAAGAGAAGGGCUCUUGCAGUGGGAGUAGCCAUGGAGGGGGCUUCUGAGAAAGAGGAGAAGAAGGGAUUAAAUUCAGAGAGAAGAAGAGGGGCUUCAGAGAGAAUCCAAGAAGGAAUCCCUGGUGAAGCCUCCCAAGAUUGAGUGCUGCUUUUGCCUCACAAACGUCUCAUGCAAUGCAAUCCUCGCUUCCCUGCUCGAAGAAAACAAUGCAGUCAACUGGUCUUCCCUGAGCUUACUGUCAAGAUAAAGGCUCAGGCAUCAGGAGGAGACAGAAAAGGAUCACAACCGGUUGCACUCUGUGCUUAAAGCUGCUCAUAUAAGGUGGUUUUAAGUCAUCCGGGAAUAAUGUAGAAUCCUAGGUUAGCUCUCGUUCCGUAAGAAUUAUUAUGGACUUCAAGCUGCAUAUUUACCAAUUAUGAUAUGACAAAGAUGAUAAAAGCAAUGAAUAAAGACUGCUGAAGGCUAGUUUCAUCUAGGAAGUCACAAAUGGAACAAGUCUUGGGAAAACAAUGCAUGUUAUGUUGAUUCAAGCUAAAAAAAAGAGAGUGAGAGAGGGGGGGUGUGCAGUGAGGAGAAGGCAGCUUGAUUUGUCUGGGAUGAGCAGGUAAAGCUGAAAAGAGGAAGUAGCGGUUUCCUUAGGAGACCAAAGUGUAGUAACAUCAAGGAAUGCAAUGUCUUAACCAGGGGAACAAAAGCAGUUUGCUGAUACAUAUGGAUUCAGAUAACUGUGGAGUGUGAGGGGACAAUAUAGAGCAUGCUUUUCAGAUCAUUACAGAAAUAUAUCUCACCAACAUUUGAUACAACAAAUGCUGAAAGUGUUUGUUAGAUGCAAGUAGGAUAUAAGCGCAAUUUGCAGAAGAAGAAAAGAGUGGCAAGAAUCCAUGCAAGGGAAUCUGAUAGGACUUCAUGUUUCCAUUGAAUGCCAGGGAAGAUGCUUGCAGCACACUAAAACUACAUUGCAUUCCAUGUGUCGGAAAAUGUUGCAUGAUCCUAGGCUUUGUGCAGAGUCAAGCAACCAUCAAAGCCUUCUUUAGCUGCUGCUGGCCUCAGCCUCUGCUGACAGUAACUGAUGAUGUUAAUGGUGGGAAUGUAAAGACAAAAGGACUCAGAGUUCAAUGACCAGACAACUGUUUGGUGAAAACCAUGCACAACUGCAUGCUUGCUUGAAUGCAAUGUCGAAUGCUACCAGUGUCACACUGGUCCAAGAUAUGUCCCUGAUAGGUUAGAAUGCGAUCGAUCAAUGGUUCUCUUUCUACUUUUUUUAGUGGUAGGCAGUAGAGGGAGCACUUCAUUUUACCUACUGCUCCACUGUUAUUCCACUGCAGAAGUAGAAAUUGUAUUAUGCAUGGUAGUAGUCUUUCCAAUAUUCCUUUUA